UACGUAGGGUGCAAGCGUUAAUCGGAAUUACUGGGCGUAAAGCGUGCGCAGGCGGUGAUGCAAGACAGAUGUGAAAUCCCCGGGCUUAACCUGGGAACUGCAUUUGUGACUGCAUUGCUGGAGUGCGGCAGAGGGGGAUGGAAUUCCGCGUGUAGCAGUGAAAUGCGUAGAUAUGUGGAGGAACACCGAUGGCGAAGGCAAUCCCCUGGGCCUGCACUGACGCUCAUGCACGAAAGCGUGGGGAGCAAACAGG
rnacentral:rRNA from 1 species